GGCGCUUGUUGGUCUAGUGGUAUGAUUCUCGCUUUGGGUGCGAGAGGUCCCGGGUUCAAUUCCUGGACAAGCCC